rnacentral:tRNA from 2 species
GUCCCCUUCGUCUAGCGGUUAGGACAUCGCCCUCUCACGGCGAAAACAGGGGUUCGAUUCCCCUAGGGGAUACCA